rnacentral:piRNA from 1 species
UCCAAUAUGUUAAGCAAUGGAGAAGGGAUGU